UAGGGAAUCUUCGGCAAUGGGGGCAACCCUGACCGAGCAACGCCGCGUGAGUGAAGAAGGUUUUCGGAUCGUAAAGCUCUGUUGUAAGAGAAGAACGAGUGUGAGAGUGGAAAGUUCACACUGUGACGGUAUCUUACCAGAAAGGGACGGCUAACUACGUGCCAGCAGCCGCGGUAAUACGUAGGUCCCGAGCGUUGUCCGGAUUUAUUGGGCGUAAAGCGAGCGCAGGCGGUUAGAUAAGUCUGAAGUUAAAGGCUGUGGCUUAACCAUAGUACGCUUUGGAAACUGUUUAACUUGAGUGCAGAAGGGGAGAGUGGAAUUCCAUGUGUAGCGGUGAAAUGCGUAGAUAUAUGGAGGAACACCGGUGGCGAAAGCGGCUCUCUGGUCUGUAACUGACGCUGAGGCUCGAAAGCGUGGGGAGCGAACAGGAUUAGAUACCCUGGUAGUCCACGCCGUAAACGAUGAGUGCUAGGUGUUAGGCCCUUUCCGGGGCUUAGUGCCGCAGCUAACGCAUUAAGCACUCCGCCUGGGGAGUACGACCGCAAGGUUGAAACUCAAAGGAAUUGACGGGGGUCAUAGCUGUUUCCUG
rnacentral:rRNA from 1 species